rnacentral:siRNA from 1 species
AGGAAGACGAUUCGGUUUGAAUAC